rnacentral:rRNA from 1 species
UACGUAGGUGGCGAGCGUUGUCCGGAUUUACUGGGCGUAAAGCGCGCGCAGGCGGACUGAUCAGUCUGGGGUGAAAUCUCACGGCUCAACUGUGAGCGGUCCCUGGAUACUGUCAGUCUUGAGAUGUCUAGAGGAGAGCGGAAUUCCCGGUGUAGUGUGGAAUGCGUAGAUAUCGGGAAGAACACCAGUGGCGAAAGCGGCUCUCUGGGGACCAUCUGACGCUGAGGCGCGAAAGCGUGGGGAGCGAACCGG